rnacentral:tRNA from 2 species
AGAAAAAACUUGGAGUAAAACAGGGCUGCUAACUUUGUUUUGGAUAAUUCAAUUUUAUCCUUUUUCUU